rnacentral:rRNA from 1 species
UGGGGGAUAUUGCGGCAAUGGGGGAAACCCUGACGCAGCAAUGCCGCGUGAAGGAAGAAGGUUUUCGGAUUGUAAACUUCUUUUGUUAAGGACGAAGAAUGACGGUACUUAACGAAUAAGCUCCGGCUAACUAUGUGCCAGCAGCCGCGGUAAUACAUAGGGAGCAAGCGUUAUCCGGAUUUACUGGGUGUAAAGGGUGCGUAGGCGGCUAAGCAAGUCAGAUGUGAAAUACACGGGCUCAACCCGUGAGCUGCAUUUGAAACUGUUUAGCUUGAGUGAAGUAGAGGCAGGCGGAAUUCCCGGUGUAGCGGUGAAAUGCGUAGAGAUCGGGAGGAACACCAGUGGCGAAGGCGGCCUGCUGGGCUUUAACUGACGCUGAGGCACGAAAGCGUGGGUAGCAAACAGGAUUAGAUACCCUGGUAGU